AGAGGAGAGAUAUGUACACAACCAGGACAGGGGUUACGGAGGAGAGGAGAGAUAUGGACACAACCAGGAAAGGGGUUAGGGUGGAGAGGAGAGAUAUGGACACAACCAGGACAGGGGAUAGGGUGGAGAGGAGAGAUAUGGACACAACCAGGACAGGGGAUAGGGAGGAGAGGAGAGAUAUGGACACAACCAGGACAGGGGAUAGGGAGGAGUGGAGAGGAGAGAUAUGGACACAACCAGGACAGGGGAUAGGGAGG
ensembl:lncRNA